GGAAAAGAAACCAACAGGGAUUGCCUUAGUAACGGCGAGUGAAGCGGCAAAAGCUCAAAUUUGAAAUCUAGCACUUUCAGUGUUCGAGUUGUAAUUUGAAGAAGGUAUNCUUUNGGAGUNUGGCCCCNGUCUAUGUUCCUUNGGAACAGGACGUCACAGAGGGUGAGAAUCCCGUGCGAUGGGGAGACCAAUUNCUAUGUAAAGUUCCUUCGAAGAGUCGAGUUGUUUGGGAAUGCAGCUCUAAGUGGGUGGUAAAUUCCAUCUAAAGCUAAAUAUUGGCGAGAGACCGAUAGCGAACAAGUACAGUGAUGGAAAGAUGAAAAGAACUUUGAAAAGAGAGUGAAAAAGUACGUGAAAUUGUUGAAAGGGAAGGACUUUUGAUCAGACUUGGUGUUUAGUACUCUCUACUCCUUGUGGGUGGGGCUCUUGCUUUAUACUGGGCCAGCAUCGGUUUGGGUGGCAGGAUAAUGGCANUUGGNAAUGUGGCUUCAUUCGUGGAGUGUUAUAGCCUUUGUUGAUACUGCCUAUCUAGACCGAGGACUGCGUCUUUUGACUAGGAUGCUGGCGUAAUGAUUAAAAGUCGCCCGUCU
rnacentral:rRNA from 1 species